GUUUGAGGCCAGCCUCAGCAACUUAGCAAAACCAACCCCGUCAGAAAAUAAAAAAUAAAAAAAGCUGGGGAUGUAGCUCAGUGGUAGAGCACCCCUGGGUUCAAUCUCCAGUACAAGAACUCAAAAAAAAAAAAAAGAAGAAGAAGAAGAAGAAGAAGGAGGAGGAGGAGGAGGAGGAGGAGGAAGAAGAAAAGAAGCUUCUUCGAGGUUCCUCACUUUGCUUCAGCUUAGCUCUGACAAAAUAAUACUUUCAUCCUCCAUAUUGACCCAGGACUCUUGAAUUCCUAGCAUGAGCAAGACAGUGGGACACGCGUCUGUGCACGUCUAUUGCCCACGCACAGACACCUUCCCAAGGCCCCACCUCUCAGGCCAUUCCUGUCUCUGAAUCCCAGAUUUAGGAGACAUCGGGUAAUGUGAAGUCACUGGUCACAUGUUCUCUCUCCGGGUCCCACAUCAUCCAGAGGCUGAUGGCCAAGUCCUCUCUCUGAUCUCAACACAAGAAAAC
rnacentral:lncRNA from 1 species